rnacentral:rRNA from 1 species
CAUGCAAGUCGAGCGAUGAAGCUUCCUUCGGGAAGUGGAUUAGCGGCGGACGGGUGAGUAACACGUGGGUAACCUGCCUCAAAGUGGGGGAUAGCCUUCCGAAAGGAAGAUUAAUACCGCAUAAUAUAAGAGAAUCGCAUGAUUUUUUUAUCAAAGAUUUAUUGCUUUGAGAUGGACCCGCGGCGCAUUAGCUAGUUGGUAAGGUAACGGCUUACCAAGGCAACGAUGCGUAGCCGACCUGAGAGGGUGAUC